CAGCCGUGCCCGGCCCGGCUCUGCCCCGCCCCGCCUGCUCGCUUGCCGCGCCGCGUCCGCGCGCCGGGCACCGGCCGGCAGCAGCGGCACCUCCGCUCCGCGCCGCCGCACAGUGCGCAGGCGCGGCUUUGGUGGCGGUGCUGAGGCCGGAAAGGCGGGAGCGGGGCGGGGCGGUGGCAGGUGGCGGGCGCGCACCUGAGGGGUGGCGUGUGCGUCGUGCGGUGCCGGCUGUCCUGGCAGAGGGACCGGCCCCACGGCAGGAACUGUUGAGCUUCGCUUAACUUGUUUUGUGUGUACUUCACAAAGGGGUUCUGUUCUGAGGGGUGGUGGCCUCCGCGCACGCUCCCAGUCCCGUUCUGUACGGCCCCCGAAGCACGCAGGGAGGGCAGGAACUGCUCCAUAUCGCAGCAGGCCUGGGGCAGUCCUCACCCUCCUCCAGGGGCCCGCUGGGGUGGCCGUGCGGCGGCUGUGUCGGUUCGGUGAGCGGCUGCUGGGCGUUCCUCCCGCCCGCCGCGGCGCCCCCGGCAGUGCCCGCUGUGGCAGCGCAGUGAGGCGCCGCGCCCGGUGGCCGUGCGGGUGUCCGCCCGCCCCCAGCAGGCGCCCGGAGCUCGGUCGGCUUUGGCUUAUGGUUAAUUUUAGCUCCAUUGGUUCGGCUGUGCCUUUGCAUGAAUACUUGUGCCUGUACAGACGAUGGUAGAAACAAGCAGCUGAUGAUGGAGAAAAUGCAGGGUUAAAAAUUCACCGAAUCUGGAGUCGGGAAGGAAUUUCCCUCAUGAGCAUAAUGUCAGCAACAUAAUCAGGGCUUGGGAACAAUCUGUUAGCACACAGAGAAAGGAUUAUGGUAGGACCAGGAUGCAGACAAAGCAAAGAGGAUGAUUCUUAGCAUGGUUUUGAGCAACACAGAAAACAAAUGUACAGAUAAGAAGUAUUCACCAACAGUAACCAGUAAGCUGUGUUUGCUCUUAAAGAUGGGAGGACUGUUGACUCAUCACAGCUUGAAUAUAACUCCAAUUAACAGUAGGAGCUAUGAACACAUUAAACAAGAAAAGCAGGCUUGUUAUCUUUGUACUGUAACUGGAUAAAAUAUAGCAGGAAGCAAGUGUUGGAAUUUCUAGAAAAAAAAGCAAGAGGUCAGAAACUCCUGAAUUUACAUUCCUGGCUCAUUGACUGAUUCAUUGCGCUCUCCCUAAAGCAAAUUGCCUGACUCACCUGACUGAUUUUCUUCACCUGUAAAAUGGUAGAGUGUAUGCCAGCUGCAGAGUUAACACUGGUAGAGAAUUCUUGUUUAUCAAGUAUAUCAGGAUUAUUAAUGAAAGAAGAAAAAUAAGUUCAAAGCAGACCAGUUUAACACCAAUUUGACAUCAAAUUACAGACUUGUGUACGCCCAGAAAUAGCUGUUUCAACCCAGAUACGUAUUGUACUAGUGUAAAAUAGGGCAUGAACUGGCAUGACUUAGCUCAGACCUGAAAUAGGAUUAAAGUAGACUGUAGCAAUAAUUUUAUGAUAAUAUCUAUUUUAUGUUUAGUCAAUCUAGUGUUGAAAUACUCAGAUUUCUGGCAUGACUCAAUGAGUCCUUUCUUCUUCCAUUACUUAAAGCAGGUUCCCAAACACCCUUGCAGUUAAACUUCUGUUUCCUGCCUUAAAUUUUUUCAUUACCCCCCACUCCUCCUGGUUGCCCACUCUUUACCCAGCUUGCCCUUCCCAUCUCAACUUCCCUCAUUUUCUUGCUCCAAUCUCUUGCCUUUUUUUUUUUUCCUGUUUAAAUCAGAUGUUUUUUUCUUUCAUGCUGAUUAAAUGUCAGCAAGGGAUGAGAGGAUCACUGAAAGAUUAGUGACUGCUCUCAGCUUCCUUACCAAACACAGCAUAAGCUGUGGAAGAUAGGGAAGGUUCUUCACAGGGAAGAUUCUUCAACAGUGUAGUUCGGGUUCAUGCCUACUAUUUCUCUCUAAAUGGCAUCUACACAGUCUAGUCAUGCAUGAGAGAUUUAUCUGAGCAUGGGAUACUCCAAAGUCUCACGUGUCUCUAUCAAACACAUAAAAUGCCAUUCUACAAAGUCUCAUAAUUUGGAUAAAUGUCAGAUUUUCAUAGGACUUGCAAAGCCAUAUCUUUGAUACUAAGGCUUCUUUCUAAGAAAUCCCAGCUCCCUACGAAAUCCCAGCUCCCUACCCAAAGGUAGGGACUGUCUACCAGUGAGAUGAGAAUGCGUGAGUUGUUAGAUGCAGGGAUUACCCAGUUUCCUUGCACUAGGCUUGGACUACACAAACAAUAGUCACAAUGAAAACAAGGGACAAACUGUAAACUUGGUAUAAGAGGAAGCAAUUGACUCGUUUUUUCUUGAAGAGUAAAGACUCUUUCUUCCCCACAACCUUCUCUGUUCUUUUUCUUGAUAUAUUUUCACAGCCCUCCCCCCCCCAAAAAAAAGACACCAGCUGACUAGUAGGAUGAUACCGUGUCGUGUCAGUAGUGCCUCAGAUGUCUCUUCAGCACAUCCUUCAGUGUGACAGAGCUACGAUGCCCUUACCAGCACCCCUCUGGGAGACGAAUAACCAUUGCCCUGCUGUGCUGCAUCUCAGGAAGGACAGGGCUCCUUCUGAAAUGAACUUCUAUUAGUGCCAAUAGGAAUUGCCAGUAAAGAAGCACUGGUCAAGCUGGUUUGUCUGGAUAUAGGUUGAGAACUUUAUCUAGAUGGCACAGUAUGCUUUCCCGGUUUUGUAGGAAGCAACCGUUUGGUAAAUAAUGUCUCUGUUACACAGGCAACGUACAUCCACAGCUACAGUUAUCAGUACAGUGUUGGUUACCAUUAAGGCAUGUAGCAGUGCUGCUUUUGCUUAAUUAGGCUUGAUUACACAAAAAGUAGUCAAGAAACUACUCUGCUAGAGGGACAUUUUGAAGAAAUAUCUCAGGUCUCUUUUAAUCUGAUCAAAACAGCAUUUCUUAAAAUGCAUGGAUUAUACCAUCAUGCAGCAUGGGAUAUUUCAUCCCAUACGAUUAAGAUUUUACAAAGUUAACAGUAACUGGAUCUUACAAAGUGAACUGUCAGUUUCAAUAGUUAUUAGCAUGGCUGGCCUGAUGCAUAACAUGUCUGAACUAACCAUUCAGUUUCAUUAUGUCUGGAUAUGCCUAUGCCAUAUCUAUACCACAUAAAACAGCAACAUUAAUUUUUUAGAAGCAGAAAAUGCCACAGCUAAUCAUUAAAAUUGAACUGGCUUAGCUUGUUAGCUAACCAGUACUUCCUUCCAUCCUCCACAAAGAACGCUCAUGAAUGAACUUCGUCAGAUUCAAAGAAUUGAAUAAAGACUAAUCAUCCACCUCCAGCCGCUUAGAAUUCCCUGCUCUCCUACUAUAAUAUGCAUAACAACAAAUAACAGUAAAAAUAUUCUAGACAGUCAGCUAUGUUUUCAUUCGAAGCACAGAGAACUAAUCCACUGCAAUUUGGCUUGUGCAUUGUUCCUUGGAAAUGAAUUCAUUGGGCUUGAUUAUUUUUUGCUUUGAUUUAAUCAUGUUUUACACCCACAUUACAGUCACAUAAAUGACUGUGGUAGGAAAUAUUCAUGUUUCUGCUUUCAGAGCUGCAAACUUUUAUAAUAAACUUUAAGAGUGUAAAUAUUGUCGCUAAAGAUUACGCAUUAGUUGCAAUAUUUAUUUGACCUGGGCCUUUAAAAUCACUACACUGUAAAAUUACGUUCACACAAUAUGUCAAUCUAUCUUGUAACUUGUAAUCUAACUUGCAAGUAUUGGGAUUUGUACUCACAUUCAUGAGCACUCAGUACUUUACCAACCAGUUUAUCUA